GGCGGACGGGUGAGUAAUGUCUGGGAAACUGCCUGAUGGAGGGGGAUAACUACUGGAAACGGUGGCUAAUACCGCAUAAUGUCGCAAGACCAAAGAGGGGGACCUUCGGGCCUCUUGCCAUCAGAUGUGCCCAGAUGGGAUUAGCUUGUUGGUGAGGUAACGGCUCACCAAGGCGACGAUCCCUAGCUGGUCUGAGAGGAUGACCAGCCACACUGGAACUGAGACACGGUCCAGACUCCUACGGGAGGCAGCAGUGGGGAAUAUUGCACAAUGGGCGCAAGCCUGAUGCAGCCAUGCCGCGUGUAUGAAGAAGGCCUUCGGGUUGUAAAGUACUUUCAGCGGGGAGGAAGGUGUUGUGGUUAAUAACCGCAGCAAUUGACGUUACCCGCAGAAGAAGCACCGGCUAACUCCGUGCCAGCAGCCGCGGUAAUACGGAGGGUGCAAGCGUUAAUCGGAAUUACUGGGCGUAAAGCGCACGCAGGCGGUCUGUCAAGUCGGAUGUGAAAUCCCCGGGCUCAACCUGGGAACUGCAUUCGAAACUGGCAGGCUUGAGUCUUGUAGAGGGGGGUAGAAUUCCAGGUGUAGCGGUGAAAUGCGUAGAGAUCUGGAGGAAUACCGGUGGCGAAGGCGGCCCCCUGGACAAAGACUGACGCUCAGGUGCGAAAGCGUGGGGAGCAAACAGGAUUAGAUACCCUGGUAGUCCACGCCGUAAACGAUGUCUACUUGGAGGUUGUGCCCUUGAGGCGUGGCUUCCGGAGCUAACGCGUUAAGUAGACCGCCUGGGGAGUACGGCCGCAAGGUUAAAACUCAAAUGAAUUGACGGGGGCCCGCACAAGCGGUGGAGCAUGUGGUUUAAUUCGAUGCAACGCGAAGAACCUUACCUGGUCUUGACAUCCACGGAAGUUUUCAGAGAUGAGAAUGUGCCUUCGGGAACCGUGAGACAGGUGCUGCAUGGCUGUCGUCAGCUCGUGUUGUGAAAUGUUGGGUUAAGUCCCGCAACGAGCGCAACCCUUAUCCUUUGUUGCCAGCGGUCCGGCCGGGAACUCAAAGGAGACUGCCAGUGAUAAACUGGAGGAAGGUGGGGAUGACGUCAAGUCAUCAUGGCCCUUACGACCAGGGCUACACACGUGCUACAAUGGCGCAUACAAAGAGAAGCGACCUCGCGAGAGCAAGCGGACCUCAUAAAGUGCGUCGUAGUCCGGAUUGGAGUCUGCAACUCGACUCCAUGAAGUCGGAAUCGCUAGUAAUCGUGGAUCAGAAUGCCACGGUGAAUACGUUCCCGGGCCUUGUACACACCGCCCGUCACACCAUGGGAGUGGGUUGCAAAAGAAGUAGGUAGCUUAACCUUCGGGAGGGCGCUUACCACUUUGUGAUUCAUGACUGGGGUGAAGUCGUAACAAGGUAACCGUAGGGGAACCUGCGGUUGGA
rnacentral:rRNA from 1 species